rnacentral:tRNA from 1 species
GGGCCGUUAGCUCAAUUGGCAGAGCAACUGACUCUUAAUCAGUAGGUCCUCGGUUCGAUCCCGAGACGGCCCA